ACACCUGAGAUACACCUGGGCACACCUGGGCACACCUGGGCACAGGUACACUCACACCUUCGAGCUCAUCCUGCUGGAGGAGCUGCGCUUCCCGCGCUCCCUGGGGCCCGAGAGCCGCUCCCUGCUGGCCGGGCUGCUCAAAAAGGAUCCUAAACAAAGGCUGGGCGGCGGCCCAGGUGACGCCCCGCGAGGUGAUGGAGCAUCGCUUCUUCGCGGGCAUCGAUUGGCAGGACGUGGUGCAGAGGAAGCUGGUGCCGCCCUUCCGGCCGCAGGUGACGUCGGAGGUGGACACCAGGUACU